rnacentral:tRNA from 1 species
CUUAAAGCUAUAGAAACUAGUACCGCAAGGGAAAAGUGAAAUAUUAAUGAAAAACCUCAAGCAC